AGUCGAGCGGGGAAGGUAGCUUGCUACCUGACCUAGCGGCGGACGGGUGAGUAAUGCUUAGGAAUCUGCCUAUUAGUGGGGGACAACAUUCCGAAAGGAAUGCUAAUACCGCAUACGCCCUACGGGGGAAAGCAGGGGAUCUUCGGACCUUGCGCUAAUAGAUGAGCCUAAGUCAGAUUAGCUAGUUGGUGGGGUAAAGGCCUACCAAGGCGACGAUCUGUAGCGGGUCUGAGAGGAUGAUCCGCCACACUGGGACUGAGACACGGCCCAGACUCCUACGGGAGGCAGCAGUGGGGAAUAUUGGACAAUGGGCGAAAGCCUGAUCCAGCCACGCCGCGUGUGUGAAGAAGGCCUUUUGGUUGUAAAGCACUUUAAGCGAGGAGGAGGCUACUUAGAUUAAUACUCUAGGAUAGUGGACGUUACUCGCAGAAUAAGCACCGGCUAACUCUGUGCCAGCAGCCGCGGUAAUACAGAGGGUGCGAGCGUUAAUCGGAUUUACUGGGCGUAAAGCGUGCGUAGGCGGCUUUUUAAGUCGGAUGUGAAAUCCCUGAGCUUAACUUAGGAAUUGCAUUCGAUACUGGGAAGCUAGAGUAUGGGAGAGGAUGGUAGAAUUCCAGGUGUAGCGGUGAAAUGCGUAGAGAUCUGGAGGAAUACCGAUGGCGAAGGCAGCCAUCUGGCCUAAUACUGACGCUGAGAUACGAAAGCAUGGGGAGCAAACAGGAUUAGAUACCCUGGUAGUCCAUGCCGUAAACGAUGUCUACUAGCCGUUGGGGCCUUUGAGGCUUUAGUGGCGCAGCUAACGCGAUAGUAGACCGCCUGGGGAGUACGGUCGCAAGACUAAAACUCAGAUGAAUUGACGGGGG
rnacentral:rRNA from 1 species